rnacentral:tRNA from 1 species
GCACCAGUGGCGGAAUAGGCAGACGCGCACGCUUGAGGGGCGUGUGAGUAAAAUCGUGCGAGUUCAAGUCUCGCCUGGUGCACCA